GGACAGUGUGAUCCUUUAGUUGUGACCGAAGCAGCUCUCCGGAAAGGAGUGGUUGUAACAAUGGACUCCAUGGCCAAAUUCUAGAAGGGAGCCCAUGUGACCAUAAACGCCCGCGGAGAGGAUGACGUAGAACCGGAGGCCAUCUUGGAGAAAGUGUCCAAAGCGUCCGGAGCCAGCUUUAACUUCCAGAGACAGACAGACACUCCGUACAGAGACGCUCCCAGGGGACCCGUGGGAUCUGUGUAUCGGAAGACCAACGCCGUGGAGGAGAUCCAACAAACC